UUUUUAUUGAGAGUUUGAUCCUGGCUCAGGACGAACGCUGGCGGCGUGCCUAACACAUGCAAGUCGAGCGAUGAAGCUUUUUCGGAAGUGGAUUAGCGGCGGACGGGUG
rnacentral:rRNA from 1 species